rnacentral:rRNA from 1 species
UACGUAGGGGGCUAGCGUUGUCCGGAUUUAUUGGGCGUAAAGAGCGUGUAGGCGGCCAGGUAGGUCUGCUGUGAAAACUCGAGGCUCAACCUCGAGACGUCGGCGGAAACCAUCUGGCUAGAGUCCGGAAGAGGAGAGUGGAAUUCCUGGUGCAGCGGUGAAAUGCGCAGAUAUCAGGAAGAACACCCGUGGCGAAGGCGGCUCUCUGGGACGGUACUGACGCUGAGACGCGAAAGCGUGGGGAGCGAACAGG